GGACGUAGCUCAGUGGUAGAGUGCUUACCUAGCAUGUGUGAGGCCCUGGGUUCAGUUCCUAGCACCA
rnacentral:tRNA from 1 species